rnacentral:misc_RNA from 1 species
UCUUUCCAAACUCAAUAAUUAAAUGAAAAGCAAAAAAAGUCAGCUUUGCACCAAUAAGCAACAAUUGAUAGUUUCAACAGAUACAUAAUUCACAUUCUUGAUUAUGAAGAAAUAUUACUUCUCAAGUUUCUUAGCAUGCAGUUGACAACUCACAACCAAGCCACCACCACUGUUGAAAUGAUUGUAUAACACAACCCACUAUAAUGUGCUGUAAAUCAGAACACAACACAAGCAUAGAAAUAAUAUAGAAAAAUGGGAAUGUGAG